AUGAUCGCCGUUCUCCUUUCUGAUUUGAUGAUGAAGCGAGGUUUAGUGA
rnacentral:snoRNA from 1 species